rnacentral:rRNA from 1 species
GACGAACGCUGGCGGCGUGCUUAACACAUGCAAGUCGAACGGAAAGGCCCUGCUUUUGUGGGGUGCUCGAGUGGCGAACGGGUGAGUAACACGUGAGUAACCUGCCCUUGACUUUGGGAUAACUUCAGGAAACUGGGGCUAAUACCGGAUAGGAGCUCCUGCUGCAUGGUGGGGGGUGGAAAGUCUCGGCGGUUGGGGAUGGACUCGCGGCUUAUGAGCUUGUUGGUGGGGUAGUGGCUUACCAAGGCUUUGACGGGUAGCCGGCCUGGGAGGGUGACCGGCCACAUUGGGACUGAGAUACGGCCCAGACUCCUACGGGAGGCAGCAGUGGGGAAUAUUGCACAAUGGGCGGAAGCCUGAUGCAGCAACGCCGCGUGCGGGAUGACGGCCUUCGGGUUGUAAACCGCUUUCGCCUGUGACGAAGCGUGAGUGACGGUAAUGGGUAAAGAAGCACCGGCUAACUACGUG